AAACUGUCUCGGAUGCCCCUUCCUCCUCAACUCGGGAGAAGACCGGGCUUUAGCCGCUUGAGCGCACUCGUCUCUCUCUUUAGGGGCCUUUGGGAAUCUUGUUCAAUGGGUAAUUCUGCAUCCACUUUCCAGCCGGUUGACGAUGUGGCAUUUCUUAGGUGAAAACUGUCUCGGAUGCCCCUUCCUCCUCAACCCGGGAGAAGACCGGGCUUUAGCCGCUUGAGCGCACUCGUCUCUCUCUUUAGGGGCCUUUGGGAAUCUUGUUCAAUGGGUAAUUCUGCAUCCACUUUCGAGCAGGUUGACGAUGUGGCAUUUCUUCCUAAACCUUCAGUCUUGUUCUAAGCGAAAGGGGAAUCGGAUUCUUGCACAAGCCAUUCAAAGAACUGAUUCUAGCAAGACCUAAUCG
rnacentral:lncRNA from 1 species